UACAACGAUACUCUGACAUUUAAUUAGAAUGCCACUAAUUUAGGCUGCAUUUCCUAGCUAAUUGGCAGCACACUUUCGGGAGCAUCCAUCACAAACCCCAAAAUGCUGCAGCCAUCACAUUUUCGGGUUCGACCUUACAUAUAUUACCUCUCUCCUCCACCAGUGCGGCAGUGCCCCCUUCUUCCUCUUUCCCAAACCCUAACACCACCUUCCGCCAUGGAACCACCACCGAUGACGACAAUAACCGCUACCUCCUUUUCCUCCUCCGCCAUAUCCCUCAACAAAAACCCUUCCUCCUUCGCCCACAACUACUGGAUCGCCAUCGCCCCCUCCCCCUCCGCCGCCUUCCUCGGCGGUACCAGUGUACCAUCGUCAUCUCCGUCCUCGUCGUCAGCCUCAUGAUCGCCUACAUCCUCGACUUCCUCUGCGCCCACACCACUUUUCUCAUCGGCGUCGAAAAUCCCUUCGUCGUCAUCGCCCUCGAGCACCUCCUCUUCUCCCUCCCCAUCUCCACCUCCUCAAUUUUCUCCUGGUACGCUGUCUCCGACGUUGGGAUCCACAACGCCGCCUACUACCUCCGAGGUUCAUCGUCAUUGAAACUCGUCACUGGAUUUCGUGCAGCUUUUCUUUUGGUAUGAUUCGAUCAACCUUUUUUCAUGUUCCUAUAGGCCUUAUAGUUAGGGUAACUUGGAAAUUUAUGGAAAUUUUGAUUAACUAUGCUUCUGAACUGUUGUUUUAUGUUGCAAUAACCUUGCAAAUGGCGAUGGAUAUAUUAUGUUAUGUUAAGAUGGUUUGAAAACCUUGAUUCUAGUUUGAGAAUGAUUCUAGAUUAUGUAAAUUGUAGAAUGAAGUAUUAGCAUACCCAAAACAGCUGUUGGUUUAGUUUGCAAAAUCUAGUGCAGUGUUUUGGUGCAAAUAAGUGUCCUAGAGAUCUAGUUUAUAGCAUAUGUUUGCUGAUUUAAAAUGCAAAAUCUGAUCUAGUAUAGAUUCAAUAGAUUAGAUUCAUUUGUUGUAUAAUGCAAUUGCUAUGCCAUCAGCAGGAUUUGUUGGAAAUGAAUUCUUUCCCCUUACGGUAUUAGUUUGGGAAGAGCAAUAAUAUAAAACAAAUAUAACAUUAUAUGAAAAGGAUAAGCUGAAAUUGAAAUCAAUUUCGAAGAAGCUAGAGUAAACUUUUGAGGGAGGAAAACACAUUAAGCAAUCUUAAUAUAGAAGAUAAAAGCAUAGUUAUAUGUGGGUUGAGUACCAACUCCUCUUGUACAGGAUUUGGUCAUCUAGCUUAUAUUUUUAGGCUCAGAUGUGAUUGCUAUAUUUUCAAUUUAAUUAUGCUCCUAUCCAUUUAUGCUUAUUGAACAUAGUUAUAACUUCAGCUGGGUUCAUGGUCUUUUUCUCAAUUCUAGGUAAGGUUUUAGUACUGGCUACUCUGAUUUUAUUUUUUUUUCCUUAUUGAACUUGAACCUAAACACCUGUUAAGCAGCCAUGACAAAGUGUUAAUGUAUUGGAAAAAGUGUCAUGUUCUCUUGGAGUGGAGGACUAGCUUGAGUUGUGCUAUUUUCCUUGACAAGCACCUGCCUCAAGAGGAUGAGAUUUGAAGACUACUUAGAUGUAGAUUUAUGAAUGCUUUUACUUGAUUUAGUUCUUGCAAUAGACAAUGAUUGUUGAAAUGAGUGGAAUUGCCAUCCUGUAAGUUCCUUUUAUUAUGAAUUUGACAUUAUUUCUUGUGAAUUUGUUUGCAUUGUCACAGUUUAUCUGUGGAUUUACCUACAAAGUUUCCAUUUAAGUGUAUCCCACUGCUUUCUUUCUCUAUCGUAAGGGGUUCACAAGGUACCCUCUCUCCACUACUUGCUUUCGAUUUCAACUAUUAGAUUUGAUUGAAAAGUGCUGAGUUUAUUCGUUAAUAAGUUGACAACCCCCACCAACUAGUCUGAAUUUCUUAUUUGACUAAUUGAAAUUAUGUUAGAAGUUUUCCUCAGGGUAUCCAAUUCAAUUUUUCUAGUAUAACAACUUCUAGAUUUCUGAAUCUACAAUUUUGCAGCUUUUGUAGAAAAUGUCUGCAAUCUGCCGCGGACAAGUGUGGCAAAAAAUGCCCUAAAUGCAGGAAAUGAACAAUCCUGCACCGUGAACACAGUUAUAAAGUUUAUGACUUUACAAAAUCACAUAUUUCUAGUAUGGUAUAUCUGGAUUCUGAAUACUGUAUGAUAUGUUGCAGCAAUGAACGAUCCUGCACCGUGACCACAGUUCUAUGGAACACAAUACAGCUCUUGUUUCCUCAGGAAGUUGAGGCAAGGAAAGCUGCUGCUGCUACUAGUGCCAUGAAUAGUAGUGAAAAGGCUCAGUGUCUAUUGUCUAAGUCCAGAAACAACAUUUUACAAUAACCUAAGGAAUCUAAGCACACAACCUAGUCUUGGGGCAUCAAGCAGAGGAACUGGCACACAACCUAGUCAUGUAGCAUCAAGCAGAGGAAUCGGACAAAGCCACCAAGGAACAACAAGGGUUGUUCACACUAGUUCAAAGAAUCAAACCUCAACAACAGCAGUUAUAGAAGCAGCAUCUCUGAGAGCGAGAACAAGAAAAGUGAUUUCUAGCCAAGAUGAGGAUGCUGCUUUUGCUCAAAGGUUGCAAAGAGAAGAGUUUCUUCAAGUUUAUAGGGGGGAAGCCAGGAGCAGUCAAGCAAGUAUAUCUUGUUCGGUAGGUGUACAUUCAUCUAAGUCUCAUGUUGCAAUGACUCUUACUCCAGCUAGUGUUGGCAGUUUACAACUUUGGAGGCUAGAACAAAUAUAUACAUUUCCUAUCAUGUUCAUGACUUCAUGCCUAUUUGUUAGUGUGCUAGCAUGUGAAAUCUUGAUGCAUACUCAGAAUUAAGUAAAGAUGUUUCAUAUUUGAGACAUGGAAAAGCAGUAAAUUGUAAUUUUUUUUCUGAUGAGUGACAGAACCACCUUUGAAGAGUGGCCUUGCACUUACUUAUAGCAUAAUCUUGCUCAUGCUUAUUAAUAUUCAUUAUGUUCCUUUUAUCUUAUUCUAUCUCUGUUUACUUUGGUGAUUAAGGAUUAACUAAUCACCAAAAUAUUAGAGAUUUUAAGAUUUAAUUUACAUAUAUUUACGAAUUAGAAAAAAAUGAAA